rnacentral:rRNA from 1 species
UACGAAGGGGGCUAGCGUUGUUCGGAAUUACUGGGCGUAAAGCGCACGUAGGCGGAUAUUUAAGUCAGGGGUGAAAUCCCGCAGCUCAACUGCGGAACUGCCUUUGAUACUGGGUAUCUUGAGUAUGGAGGAGGUGAGUGGAAUUCCGAGUGUAGAGGUGAAAUUCGUAGAUAUUCGGAGGAACACCAGUGGCGAAGGCGGCUCACUGGUCCAUUACUGACGCUGAGGGGCGAAAGAGUGGGGAGCAAACAGGAUUAGAUACCCGGGUAGUCCACGCCGUAAACGAUGAAUGUUAGCCGUCGGGCAGUAUACUGUUCGGUGGCGCAGCUAACGCAUUAAACAUUCCGCCUGGGGAGUACGGUCGCAAGAUUAAA